GAUGAACGCUGGCGGCGUGCCUAAUACAUGCAAGUAGAACGCUGACGGAGGAGCUUGCUCUUCUGGAUGAGUUGCGAACGGGUGAGUAACGCGUAGGUAACCUGCCUGGUAGCGGGGGAUAACUAUUGGAAACGAUAGCUAAUACCGCAUGACAACAGUUAUUGCAUGAUAACUGUUUAAAAGGGGCAACUGCUCCACUACCAGAUGGACCUGCGUUGUAUUAGCUAGUUGGUGAGGUAACGGCUCACCAAGGCGACGAUACAUAGCCGACCUGGGAGGGUGAUCGGCCACACUGGGAAUGAGACACGGCCCAGACUCCUACGGGAGGCAGCAGUAGGGAAUCUUCGGCAAUGGACGGAAGUCUGACCGAGCAACGCCGCGUGAGUGAAGAAGGUUUUCGGAUCGUAAAGCUCUGUUGUAAGAGAAGAACGAGUGUGAGAGUGGAAAGUUCACACUGUGACGGUAUCUUACCAGAAAGGGACGGCUAACUACGUG
rnacentral:rRNA from 1 species